rnacentral:rRNA from 1 species
GCAAGUCGAACGAACCAUUUAUGGUGAGUGGCGCACGGGUGCGUAACACGUGGGAAUAUACACAUCGGUAAGGAACAACACAGAGAAAUUUGUGCUAAUACCUUAUAAUGACUCCGGUCCAAAGAUUUAUCGCCGAUGGAUUAGCCCGCGCUAGAUUAGUUUGUUGGUGAGGUAAAAGCUCACCAAGACUACGAUCUAUAGGGGGUCUUAGAGGAUGAUC